rnacentral:rRNA from 1 species
AGAGUUUGAUCAUGGCUCAGGAUGAACGCUGGCGGCGUGCUUAACACAUGCAAGUCGAACGGGAAUGUUUCGCUGAUGCGAUUUCGGUCAAAUCUUGAAGCAUUUUAGUGGCGGACGGGUGAGUAACGCGUGGGUAACCUGCCCUGUACAGGGGGACAACAGUUGGAAACGACUGCUAAUACCGCAUAAGCGCACAGCUUCGCAUGAAGCAGUGUGAAAAACUCCGGUGGUACAGGAUGGACCCGCGUCUGAUUAGAUAGUUGGUGAGGUAACGGCCCACCAAGUCAACGAUCAGUAGCCGGCCUGAGAGGGUGAACGGCCACAUUGGGACUGAGACACGGCCCAAACUCCUACGGGAGGCAGCAGUGGGGAAUAUUGCACAAUGGGGGAAACCCUGAUGCAGCGACGCCGCGUGAGUGAAGAAGUAUUUCGGUAUGUAAAGCUCUAUCAGCAGGGAAGAAAACAAUGACGGUACCUGACUAAGAAGCCCCGGCUAACUACGUGCCAGCAGCCGCGGUAAUACGUAGGGGGCAAGCGUUAUCCGGAUUUACUGGGUGUAAAGGGAGCGUAGACGGUAGACCAAGUCUGAAGUGAAAGCCCGGGGCUCAACCCCGGAACUGCUUUGGAAACUGGUAAACUAGAGUGCAGGAGAGGUAAGUGGAAUUCCUAGUGUAGCGGUGAAAUGCGUAGAUAUUAGGAGGAACACCAGUGGCGAAGGCGGCUUACUGGACUGUAACUGGCGUUGAGGCUCGAAAGCGUGGGGAGCAAACAGGAUUAGAUACCCUGGUAGUCCACGCCGUAAACGAUGAUUACUAGGUGUCGGGGAGUUAAACUCUUCGGUGCCGCAGCACACGCAAUAAGU